CGGCAGGCUUACACAUGCAAGUCGAGGGGUAACAGGUCACUUCGGUGAUGCUGACGACCGGCGCACGGGUGAGUAACGCGUAUGGAACCUACCUGAAACAGGGGGAUAGCGUCCGGAAACGGGGAUUAAUACCCCAUACGAUUCAUUUGUGGCCUCACAAAUGGAUAAAAGCUACGGCGGUUUCAGAUGGUCAUGCGUACCAUUAGUUAGUUGGUGAGGUAAAGGCUCACCAAGGCGAUGAUGGUUAGGGGUCCUGAGAGGGUAGUCCCCCACACUGGUACUGAGACACGGACCAGACUCCUACGGGAGGCAGCAGUGAGGAAUAUUGGUCAAUGGGCGCUAGCCUGAACCAGCCAUGCCGCGUGCAGGAAGACGGCCCUACGGGUUGUAAACUGUUUUUCUGCAGGAAGAAUAUAUAGUCUUAGGGCUAUAUUGACGGUACUGCAGGAAUAAGCAUCGGCUAACUCCGUGCCAGCAGCCGCGGUAAUACGGAGGAUGCAAGCGUUAUCCGGAUUCAUUGGGUUUAAAGGGUGCGCAGGCUGUAAAGCAAGUCAGUGGUGAAAGCCCUGGGCUUAACUCAGGGAUUGCCAUUGAAACUGUUUUACUAGAGUGUAGUAGAGGACGGCGGAAUGAGUUGUGUAGCGGUGAAAUGCAUAGAUAUAACUCAGAACACCUAUUGCGUAGGCAGCUGUCUAUACUACAACUGACGCUGAGGCACGAAAGCGUGGG
rnacentral:rRNA from 1 species